ACAAGUGCAUGUGGUGGAUGCCUUGGCGAUCACAGGCGAUGAAGGACGCGGUAGCCUGCGAAAAGCUUCGGGGAGCUGGCAAACAAGCUUUGAUCCGGAGAUGUCCGAAUGGGGAAACCCGGCCCGUAUGGGUCAUCCCUGACUGAAUACAUAGGUCAGGGAAGCGAACGCGGCGAACUGAAACAUCUAAGUAGCUGCAGGAACAGAAAUCAACCGAGAUUCCCAGAGUAGUGGCGAACGAAAUGGGAAGAGCCUUGUACUCUUUAGCAGUGUUGUUAGCAGAACGGGAUGGAAAGCCCGGCCAUAGCAGGUGAUAGCCCUGUAUGCGAAAACAGCGUUGUGGAACUAGGUGUACGACAAGUAGGGCGGGACACGUGAAAUCCUGUCUGAAGAUGGGGGGACCAUCCUCCAAGGCUAAAUACUCGUGAUCGACCGAUAGUGAACCAGUACCGUGAGGGAAAGGCGAAAAGAACCCCGGGAGGGGAGUGAAAUAGAUCCUGAAACCGCAUGCAUACAAACAGUCGGAGCCUGGAAACGGGUGACGGCGUACCUUUUGUAUAAUGGGUCAGCGACUUACAUUCAGUGGCAAGCUUAACCGAUUAGGGAAGGCGUAGCGAAAGCGAGUCCGAAUAGGGCGUUCAGUCGCUGGGUGUAGACCCGAAACCAGACGAUCUAUCCAUGGCCAGGUUGAAGGUGCGGUAACACGUACUGGAGGACCGAACCCACUAACGUUGAAAAGUUAGGGGAUGAGCUGUGGAUAGGGGUGAAAGGCUAAACAAGUCUGGAAAUAGCUGGUUCUCUCCGAAAACUAUUUAGGUAGUGCCUCGUGUCUCACCUUCGGGGGUAGAGCACUGUCAUGGUUGGGGGGUCUAUUGCUGAUUACCCCGCCAUAGCAAACUCCGAAUACCGAAGAGUGCAAUCACGGGAGACAGACAUCGGGUGCUAACGUCCGGUGUCAAGAGGGAAACAACCCAGACCGCCAGCUAAGGUCCCUAAGAUUGGCUAAGUGGGAAACGAAGUGGGAAGGCUAAAACAGUCAGGAGGUUGGCUUAGAAGCAGCCAUCCUUUAAAGAAAGCGUAAUAGCUCACUGAUCGAGUCGUCCUGCGCGGAAGAUGUAACGGGGCUAAGCCAGUCACCGAAGCUGCGGAUGCACGUAAGUGCAUGGUAGGAGAGCGUUCUGUAAGCCUGUGAAGGUGUCUUGUAAAGGAUGCUGGAGGUAUCAGAAGUGCGAAUGCUGACAUGAGUAGCGAUAAAGGGGGUGAAAAGCCCCCUCGCCGUAAGCCCAAGGUUUCCUACGCAACGUUCAUCGGCGUAGGGUGAGUCGGCCCCUAAGGCGAGGCAGAGAUGCGUAGCUGAUGGGAAGCAGGUUAAUAUUCCUGCACCGUCGUAUGAUGCGAUGGGGGGACGGAUCGCGGAAGGUUGUCCGGGUGUUGGAAGUCCCGGUCCCUGCAUUGGAGAAGGCGCUUAGGCAAAUCCGGGCGCGGAAUUCAAGGAUGUGGGGCGAGCGGCCUAGUGCUGCGAAGCAAUUGGAAGUGGUUCCAAGAAAAGCCUCUAAGCUUCAGUCAUACGAGACCGUACCGCAAACCGACACAGGUGGGCGAGAUGAGUAUUCUAAGGCGCUUGAGAGAACUCGGGAGAAGGAACUCGGCAAAUUGGUACCGUAACUUCGGGAUAAGGUACGCCCUUGUAGCUUGACUGGCCUGCGCCAGGAGGGUGAAGGGGUUGCAAUAAAAUGGUGGCUGCGACUGUUUAAUAAAAACACAGCACUCUGCAAACACGAAAGUGGACGUAUAGGGUGUGACGCCUGCCCGGUGCCGGAAGAUUAAAUGAUGGGGUGCAAGCUCUUGAUUGAAGUCCCGGUAAACGGCGGCCGUAACUAUAACGGUCCUAAGGUAGCGAAAUUCCUUGUCGGGUAAGUUCCGACCUGCACGAAUGGCGUAACGAUGGCCACACUGUCUCCUCCCGAGACUCAGCGAAGUUGAAGUGUUUGUGAUGAUGCAAUCUCCCCGCGGCUAGACGGAAAGACCCCAUGAACCUUUACUGUAGCUUUGCAUUGGACUUUGAACCGAUCUGUGUAGGAUAGGUGGGAGGCUUUGAAGCGUGGACGCUAGUCUGCGUGGAGCCGUCCUUGAAAUACCACCCUGGUUUGUUUGAGGUUCUAACCUUGGUCCGUGAAUCCGGAUCGGGGACAGUGCAUGGUAGGCAGUUUGACUGGGGCGGUCUCCUCCCAAAGUGUAACGGAGGAGUUCGAAGGUACGCUUGGUACGGUCGGACAUCGUACCUAAAGUGCAAUGGCAAAAGCGUGCUUAACUGCGAGACCGACAAGUCGAGCAGGUGCGAAAGCAGGACAUAGUGAUCCGGUGGUUCUGAAUGGAAGGGCCAUCGCUCAACGGAUAAAAGGUACUCUGGGGAUAACAGGCUGAUACCGCCCAAGAGUUCAUAUCGACGGCGGUGUUUGGCACCUCGAUGUCGGCUCAUCUCAUCCUGGGGCUGUAGCCGGUCCCAAGGGUAUGGCUGUUCGCCAUUUAAAGAGGUACGUGAGCUGGGUUUAAAACGUCGUGAGACAGUUUGGUCCCUAUCUGCCGUGGGCGUUGGAAUCUUGACGGGGGCUGCUCCUAGUACGAGAGGACCGGAGUGGACGUACCGCUGGUGUACCUGUUGUCUCGCCAGAGGCAUCGCAGGGUAGCUAUGUACGGAAGAGAUAACCGCUGAAAGCAUCUAAGCGGGAAACUCGCCUGAAGAUGAGGAUUCCCUGGAGCCUUGAGCUCCUUGAAGGGUCGUUCGAGACCAGGACGUUGAUAGGCUGGGUGUGGAAGCGCAGUAAUGCGUUAAGCUAACCAGUACUAAUUGCCCGUAAGGCUUGAUC
rnacentral:rRNA from 1 species